UCACACACAGGAUUCAAAAUCAAACACACAGCAGCCAUCAGAUCUUGGAACAAUCCAGAUCUGAUGGUUCACAGAGCGAGGGAACACAACAAGAGCACGCACGCGCGCGCGUGGGAACGGAGGGAGUAUAAAAAGGAAUUUUCACACAAAAAUCACAUAAACUUCUUCUUCUUCUCUCUCUAAGUCUAAGUCACAAUUAGAGAGAGAAGCUCUCCCUUCUCUCUAAAAAUCCCGCCGGCGAAGGUGGGUGGUGGUGGUGAUUCCGGCGCGGCGGCCGGCCGGUUUCCGGCGGCGGCGCCACCGCGCCGGAAAAUUCGAACUUCUUUUUUUUUUAAAAUUUUUACAUCAAAAGUUCCGUCACCACCUCCUCUACACAAAUCCGGCGUUAGUUUUAGCGAGAACGGAGCGAUUCGGACUAGAUCUACAUUUUUUCUUUGAAAAUUUUUCACACUUUUUUUAAAAAAAAACUACGGAUCUAGAUAUCCUUUUCUCUCUAGUGUCCGAAUCCGGCCUCAAAAUUUUCAAAAUCCGAACGUACACGCCUAGAUCUACAAAUACAUAUCCGUAACAAACUUUUUCACACCUUUUUUUACACUACAUAUGCGCGCGAAAACGGAGAAAAAGAGGAGAGAAAUGCGUUACCUCUGUCGUGAAACGGAGAAAAAUCUUCGGAAAAACUUCGAAUCCUCCUCUUCUCUUUCGCGCGCGCUAUACCCUCCGUUGGUGUUGUUUUUGCUCGAAAAUCCGGUACGUUUUGGUGUUGAUGUGGUGAUUCGCGGUGGUUUUGAGUGAAUCCGGUUCGGAUUUGUUGAUUUUGUGGUGGUUGGAGCUGAUUCCGAGCAGAUCCGGUUUAGAUCUGUUGAUUUUGGUGAUGAGGUGUUCUUGGUGUUCUUCCUCUUUUUUAUGAGUUUUUUCUGUUUUGAUUCUGUUAUGGAUGAGAGAGAGAAAAAGAUUCUGUUUGAGACUGAUUGUGAUUGAUUCUGAUUUUUUUUUUUGACUGAUUGUGAUGGAUCUGACACAUUUACUAUUUAUAGCCUGCCAUGUGUAUCUGAGAACCAAUGAAAAAAUGACAUCUGGACUGUUUUGGACUUAAGGACUAAUCUGCAAAAAGGUUAAUAUGAGGACUAAUCUGCAAAAUAAGAAAAAGGACUAAAAAAUGCAAUUUUAAAAAGUAUUGGACUAAAAUGCAAGUUAAAAUAAAAUUGGAUAAAAAUUGGUAAUUUGAAAAAACGUAAAGUGAAACAAAAAAUAAAAUCAACAAAAGGACUAAAACGAACCAAUUACUGACACGAGGUAUUUUAAAAUACCUCCCUGUCGAAAUUUUGACAGGAAAAGACAAAAAUGCCUCUAGGGACUAAACUGACUCCAUUGCAAGAAAUGACCAAAAUACCCUUUUGUAUGAUUUUUGAAAUAAAAUGCAAGAAAAGGUAAUGCGAUGUUUCUGAGAGAGUUUAAACGACUUGUAAUGCAAGAAAGACAUUUUGGAUGGUUUUGUGCGCAAGAAAAUCAAAGAUAAAAUCAUGAUUGAAAAUAGUUUGAGACAGAGACAUUAAAAUAUGCAGAUGAAACAAAGUAAAGGUUCAUGGAAACAUAACAGUAAAUUGACAAUUAUCAGUGUUGAAAAAGAAAUUUGAAUGAGUAUUUUUAGGUCCAAAAUUAGGGUAUAACAAUGUUGUUUAUUUUGUUUCUGUGAUCGUUGAUGCUUGCCUUGUUCUUUGUUUGUGUUUGUUGCGUUUUUGAGACAGUUGUUUUGAUUAUUCGUUUUCGGGUUUUGGAAGUGAGGUUCAAGAAAGUCAGCCUCAAGCAUAAUGUUGUG
rnacentral:lncRNA from 1 species